rfam:Fusarium oxysporum Fo5176 contig02091, whole genome shotgun sequence.
GGGGCGCUGGCGCAACGGUAGCGCGUCAGAUUCCAGUUAUUAAGCAUGGAGAUUCCUGAAGGUUAUCGGUUCAAAUCCGGUGUGCCUCA